rnacentral:tRNA from 1 species
GGGGUUGUGACUCAAUGGUAGAGCCCUCGCUUAGCACGUGUGAGGCACUGGGUUUGAUCCUCAGCACCACA